GCUAUAAUGCAAGUCGAGCGGACAGAAGGGAGCUUGCUCCCGGAUGUUAGCGGCGGACGGGUGAGUAACACGUGGGUAACCUGCCUGUAAGACUGGGAUAACUCCGGGAAACCGGAGCUAAUACCGGAUAGUUCCUUGAACCGCAUGGUUCAAGGAUGAAAGACGGUUUCGGCUGUCACUUACAGAUGGACCCGCGGCGCAUUAGCUAGUUGGUGGGGUAAUGGCUCACCAAGGCGACGAUGCGUAGCCGACCUGAGAGGGUGAUCGGCCACACUGGGACUGAGACACGGCCCAGACUCCUACGGGAGGCAGCAGUAGGGAAUCUUCCGCAAUGGACGAAAGUCUGACGGAGCAACGCCGCGUGAGUGAUGAAGGUUUUCGGAUCGUAAAGCUCUGUUGUUAGGGAAGAACAAGUGCGAGAGUAACUGCUCGCACCUUGACGGUACCUAACCAGAAAGCCACGGCUAACUACGUGCCAGCAGCCGCGGUAAUACGUAGGUGGCAAGCGUUGUCCGGAAUUAUUGGGCGUAAAGGGCUCGCAGGCGGUUUCUUAAGUCUGAUGUGAAAGCCCCCGGCUCAACCGGGGAGGGUCAUUGGAAACUGGGAAACUUGAGUGCAGAAGAGGAGAGUGGAAUUCCACGUGUAGCGGUGAAAUGCGUAGAGAUGUGGAG
rnacentral:rRNA from 1 species